GUGUACUCCUACGUGGAUGACGCGGGACGGCAGCAGGAGCGUCGGGGCACCUACAGGUCUGUCCCGUCAGGCUUCACCACCGCCGCUAGAAUAGAGCUGUCCGGCCUCACGCCUACCAUGCUGGGGGCUGAUGUGUUCGGUAACACGUACCUGUAUCCUAUAUACAAGGACGAGUCUGGCAUGGAA